rnacentral:rRNA from 1 species
ACGUAUGUUUCAUGACAGUUGUUUACUACUUGGAUAUCCACGGUAAUUCUAGAGCUAAUACAUGCGUCCAGACCCAACUUUGCGGAAGGGUUGUGCUUAUUAAAAAUUUAACCAUCCCCGGCUUGCCCGGUUUCGAGGUGAUUGAUGGUAAUCGAACGAAUCGCAUGCUUUGCGGCGAAGAUUCAUUCAAGUUUCUGACCUAUCAACUUCCGACGGGAGGGUAUUGGCCCACCCUGGCUUUGACGGGUAACGGAAAAUUAAGGUUUGAUUCCCGAGAGGGAGCCCGAAAAACGGCUACCACAUCUAAAGGAGGCAGCAGGGGCGCAAAUUACCCCAUCCUGACACAGGGAGGUAGUGACAAGAAAUACCAAUAUGAGGCCUUUUUGUCUUGUAAUUGGAA